rfam:Bacterium GW2011_GWB1_52_7 VF00_C0001, whole genome shotgun sequence.
CGGGGCGUAGCGCAGUGGUAGCGCGCACCGUUCGGGUCGGUGAGGUCGCAGGUUCGACUCCUGUCGCCCCGA